rnacentral:misc_RNA from 1 species
GAGAAAAGGUCAAGUAUAGAAAAACCCAAAAGAAUAAUCAAUUGAAUUUUCACUAAACUUAUUUCUUGAAACUAUACCAGUAAAAUGGUGUCGCAGAAACCACAUUGCACGUAGCAAAUCUGCUCUGGAAGGUCAAAGAGAUGGUUUAAUGUUGCCAUUGUGCGUGAGAUAGAGAGAAAGAGAAGCCUUGUGGUUGUGGAUCAUAUCUGAUAUAG